GGGCCUGUAGUUUAACGGGAAAACGCCGCUCUCGCUCAGCGGAGUUCUGGGUUCAAAUCCCAGCAGGUCCA
rnacentral:tRNA from 1 species